rnacentral:rRNA from 1 species
AUGGAUCUGGGAGGAUGGUGUGCCAUGCAGGGUUGGCGUGUCGGCGGCGACGACCCUGCCGAGGCUUUUGUUUCCUUGGCUAGCCGCGUCACGGCGGCGUCUCCUCCAGCGCCGACGGGAAGCCGAGGAUGGCUGUACAAGAGUUCGAUGGCCUCCGCGGGUCGUCUUCUUCGAUGGCAACAGCGGUGGCCAUCUCAGGUACGCGGGUGUUUCGGAGCAGGGAUUGUGGUUAGCGGGAGGCGGAUCCGGCCUUCUCCUUCGACCCUGUUGUUCGAAGUUGGCGGAUUUGCGAUCCGGCGAGCAUGGGGUUGGUCCCGGCCGACGUGCCACAGUGCUCUCGAACCCGCCGUUCGCGGUGGGUCGCUAAUUCGGCUCACAAAGCUUUUCAUGCGAUGGUGCUUCGUCGGAUCACGGCGUGUUGGGCGUUCGUCUUCCUCUCCCUCGACGGUGCUUCGGCGGCCGCGACGGGCGAUGCAGGGCGUCGACGACGAGUUGUGCAGGGACCCCCAAGGGCCUGAUUGUAAUCUUCUUUCUUUUUCUGGGGUGUUUUCUGCUUAUGUUCUGGACACCUGUGUGUUCUGGGUCCUUCGUCUGGGUGCUACCACAUGUGUUGUACUCCGAAAAAAAAGUCCCGAACAGGUGCUGCAUCACCCUCACCGCUUCGCCUCGAUUGGCACCGGCGCAGGCCACCCCGCCGCUCGACCUCGCCUCGCACCGGAGGCGACCACCACCAUCCUCCCCGCGCCCUCUCCUCCCCCAAUCCGAUAUAGAUGCCUAAACCGCGGGAAUAGGCAGGCGGCCGGCGGGCGACGCGAGGCGCGGUGGCGGCGCGAGGAAGACGGGCAGAUGCGGGCGCGGCGUCGACCGAUCUGGCUGGUGGUGCGGCGGCUUGUUCCGUUGGUAAAAUCAUUCUUGGGUAGAUUUAUACGAUGUACUGAUGGAUCAUCCUCUGGAGUGCAUGAAUUGAAUGAAUUUCUGAAUUCUGAGCAGUAUGAUGUCAUGGGAAGAAGUUGUGAUGGCGGCGAAUUAUGCAGCCAUUGUCUCUCACGACCGUCGGCCCCUGCUCGCGACGUCUCUACUGGAGCCGCCUCUCCCUACUCUGAGGAGGAGAGCAAUGGAAAUAACACCCCGUCGCGGUCCUGGUGCUUCUCUCCGUGGGUUCGCUUGCAAACCUCGGCGUUUGCGGCUUCUAUAGAUUUAUACAUGGUGGAAUUCCAGAAUAGAGGCUUGCCUCAUACUCAUACUUCAAUUCGGCUUAUAGGGAACAAUCAUGAGCCUUCGGCCUCCUUCAUAGAUGGUUUGAUUUCGGCUGAGAUACCUGAUCCUUUGGUUGAGCGCUGGGUUAUGCUCUUAUGGAUUAAAACGUGA